rnacentral:rRNA from 1 species
AUUGAACGCUGGCGGCAUGCUUUACUACAUGCAAGUCGAACGGCAGCGCGGGGGCAACCCUGGCGGCGAGUGGCGAACGGGUGAGUAAUGCAUCGGAACGUAUCCUGUAAAUCGGGGGAUAACGUAGCGAAAGUUACGCUAAUACCGCAUACGCUCGAGAGAGGAAAGUGGGGGAUCGCAAGACCUCACGUUAUAGGAGCGGACCGAUGUCCGAUUAGCUAGUUGGUGGGGUAAAGGCCUACCAAGGCGACGAUCGGUAGCUGGUCUGAGAGGAUGAUCAGCCACACUGGGACUGAGACACGGCCCAGACUCCUACGGGAGGCAGCAGUGGGGAAUUUUGGACAAUGGGCCGAAAGCCUGAUCCAGCCAUGCCGCGUGCGGGAAGAAGGCCUUCGGGUUGUAAACCGCUUUAGUCCGGGAAAAAGGGGUGCGAGGAUAAUACCCUCGUGCUUUGAUGGUACUGGAAGAAUAAGCACCGGCUAACUACGUG